rnacentral:rRNA from 1 species
GACGAACGCUGGCGGCGUGCUUAACACAUGCAAGUCGAACGGAAAGGCCCUGCUUGCAGGGUACUCGAGUGGCGAACGGGUGAGUAACACGUGGGUGAUCUGCCCUGCACUUCGGGAUAAGCCUGGGAAACUGGGUCUAAUACCGGAUAUGAGCCAUUUUUAGUGUGAUGGUUGGAAAGUUUUUUCGGUGUAGGAUGAGCUCGCGGCCUAUCAGCUUGUUGGUGGGGUAAUGGCCUACCAAGGCGGCGACGGGUAGCCGGCCUGAGAGGGUGGACGGCCACAUUGGGACUGAGAUACGGCCCAGACUCCUACGGGAGGCAGCAGUGGGGAAUAUUGCACAAUGGGCGCAAGCCUGAUGCAGCGACGCCGCGUGGGGGAUGACGGCCUUCGGGUUGUAAACUCCUUUCGCUAGGGACGAAGCUUUUUGUGACGGUACCUAGAUAAGAAGCACCGGCUAACUACGUG